GAACGCUGGCGGCGUGCCUAAUACAUGCAAGUAGAACGCUGAAGAGAGGAGCUUGCUCUUCUUGGAUGAGUUGCGAACGGGUGAGUAACGCGUAGGUAACCUGCCUUGUAGCGGGGGAUAACUAUUGGAAACGAUAGCUAAUACCGCAUAACAAUGGAUGACACAUGUCAUUUAUUUGAAAGGGGCAAUUGCUCCACUACAAGAUGGACCUGCGUUGUAUUAGCUAGUAGGUGAGGUAACGGCUCACCUAGGCGACGAUACAUAGCCGACCUGAGAGGGUGAUCGGCCACACUGGGACUGAGACACGGCCCAGACUCCUACGGGAGGCAGCAGUAGGGAAUCUUCGGCAAUGGGGGCAACCCUGACCGAGCAACGCCGCGUGAGUGAAGAAGGUUUUCGGAUCGUAAAGCUCUGUUGUAAGUCAAGAACGAGUGUGAGAGUGGAAAGUUCACACUGUGACGGUAGCUUACCAGAAAGGGACGGCUAACUACGUGCCAGCAGCCGCGGUAAUACGUAGGUCCCGAGCGUUGUCCGGAUUUAUUGGGCGUAAAGCGAGCGCAGGCGGUUUGAUAAGUCUGAAGUUAAAGGCUGUGGCUCAACCAUAGUUCGCUUUGGAAACUGUCAAACUUGAGUGCAGAAGGGGAGAGUGGAAUUCCAUGUGUAGCGGUGAAAUGCGUAGAUAUAUGGAGGAACACCGGUGGCGAAAGCGGCUCUCUGGUCUGUAACUGACGCUGAGGCUCGAAAGCGUGGGAAGCGAACAGGAUUAGAUACCCUGGUAGUCCACGCCGUAAACGAUGAGUGCUAGGUGUUGGAUCCUUUCCGGGAUUCAGUGCCGCAGCUAACGCAUUAAGCACUCCGCCUGGGGAGUACGA
rnacentral:rRNA from 1 species